rnacentral:rRNA from 1 species
CAACGCGAAGAACCUUACCAGGUCUUGACAUCCUCUGACAACCCUAGAGAUNGGGCUUUCCCUUCGGGGACAGAGUGACAGGUGGUGCAUGGUUGUCGUCAGCUCGUGUCGUGAGAUGUUGGGUUAAGUCCCGCAACGAGCGCAACCCUUGAUNUUAGUUGCCAGCAUUNAGUUGGGCACUCUAAGGUGACUGCCGGUGACAAACCGGAGGAAGGUGGGGAUGACGUCAAAUCAUCAUGCCCCUUAUGACCUGGGCUACACACGUGCUACAAUGGACAGAACAAAGGGCUGCGAGACCGCAAGGUUUAGCCAAUCCCACAAAUCUGUUCUCAGUUCGGAUCGCAGUCUGCAACUCGACUGCGUGAAGCUGGAAUCGCUAGUAAUCGCGGAUCAGCAUGCCGCGGUGAAUACGUUCCCGGGCCUUGUACACACCGCCCGUCACACCACGAGAGUUUGCAACACCCGAAGUCGGU